GACGUAGGGCGCGAGCGUUGUCCGGAUUUAUUGGGCGUAAAGAGCUCGUAGGCGGCUUGUCGCGUCGACCGUGAAAACUUGGGGCUCAACCCCAAGCCUGCGGUCGAUACGGGCAGGCUCGAGUUCGGUAGGGGAGACUGGAAUUCCUGGUGUAGCGGUGAAAUGCGCAGAUAUCAGGAGGAACGCCGAUGGCGAAGGCAGGUCUCUGGGCCGAUACUGACGCUGAGGAGCGAAAGCGUGGGGAGCGAACAGG
rnacentral:rRNA from 1 species